rnacentral:lncRNA from 1 species
CCGGUCACCCCGUUAACACCACAGAACCCCCAUCACACCCUAAAGCCAAAUCCACUAACCCCUAACCUCGAAUCAAACAGAACCUUCUUGAAUCGUCAUUUGAAGAUUCGAGCCCAGAUUCAACUCACACCAAAUCACCCUAAAUCAAUACCAAGCACUCCCCUAACAUCUCUCGUACCUAAACCAACAAGGUUUUGGUUCGAAUAUGACCUGAAAAGGUCGAACCCUAAAAGUGACUGUAUGAGCCCUAGAAAAUCCAAGGUUUGGAGUCUGGCCAAGUUAAGUGGAAAUUGAGGUCCAAAGGACUCUAUUCUAGGUGUUCUCAACUGAGAACACCCCGAGUUGCC